rnacentral:rRNA from 1 species
AUGCCUAAUACAUGCAAGUCGAGCGAACAGAGAGGAGCUUGCUCCUUUGACGUUAGCGGCGGACGGGUGAGUAACACGUGGGCAACCUACCUUAUAGUUUGGGAUAACUCCGGGAAACCGGGGCUAAUACCGAAUAAUCUAUUUACUUCAUGGUGAAAUACUGAAAGACGGUUUCGGCUGUCGCUAUAAGAUGGGCCCGCGGCGCAUUAGCUAGUUGGUGAGGUAACGGCUCACCAANGCGACGAUGCGUAGCCGACCUGAGAGGGUGAUCGGCCACACUGGUGACUGAGACACGGCCCAGACUCCUACGGGAGUGCAGCAGUGGGGAAUCUUCCACAAUGGGCGAAAGCCUGAUGGAGCAACGCCGCGUGAGUGAAGAAGGUUUUCGGAUCGUAAAACUCUGUUGUAGGGAAGAACAAGUACAGUAGUAACUGGCUGUACCUUGACGGUACCUUACUAGAAAGCCACGGCUAACUACGCGCCAGCAGCCGCGGUAAUACGUAGAGUGGCAAGCGUUUGUCCCGGAAUUAUUGGGCGUAAAAGCUGCGCGCAGNGCGGUUCCUUUAAGUCUGAUUGUGAAAGCCCACAGGGGUCAACCCCGUGGGAAGGGGUUCCCUUGGGAAAACUUGGGG